UUUGCAGAUAGCACAGUUGUGCACCUUUCGAGACAGUAAGGACAUCGUGUUUCCGAUCUGAUCUGUUUCCAUAAAUCAGAUGGCGACAGAUAAAUAUAAUGACAUUCUUGACCAGCAGAUUCCACUCCAACAGCCUUGUCCAAAGGACAUUCAUGCUGUGCUGAGAGAGAUGACCGCCUUGGUGGCUGAACAGAAGGUGAAGAUCACAUUUCUAGAAAAAGAGAAUCAAGACAAUGUUGCAAAGCUGAAGGAACUGGAGAAAAAGGAGACAGAGAUUGACAAGCUGAAGCAGCAGCUACAAGACCAGGUAGCAAAACUGGAAGAACUGGAGAGGCAGACAAAGGAGAUUCAUGACAUAAAACAACAGCUACAAGUCAAACGGGUGGCUUUCUCAGCCUCUUUGUUGGAUAAAGGUGAUGGCCACACUGGACCAUUUAACGCCCACACCACCCUCAUCUUCAAACGUGUUUUCACAAACAUAGGGAAUGCCUACAACCCACACACAGAUCAGCUGCACUGGAUCAUCACCAGCUUGGAUCUUCAUCCUUUUUCACUCAGUCAAGUCUUUCCUUUUGUUGGCCGUUCCUCUGUACCAGAAAACCAAAGUGUGUCAUCACAGCUAAAAUAAGGGAGAUUUUUCCACUUUAAAGUGCUUCAAUUAGUGAUAGCUGUUGAUCCACACAUCAAAUCAUCUCUAAGGAUCUGAAUGUUGAAGACAAAUACACAAAUACCUCUGCUUAUUAUGAGGCUAAAAGCUUGAUAUAGACAUAACAGUUUAUAAUAUGUCAGUAGCAUAUAACAGCCCUGCACACCAGCACUAUGCUUAUAUUAGACUUUAAUCAACAUAUAGUUAUGAUUUCAUCACAUUAGCUCACAAAAACAUUCCACUAAUGUAACCUUAUUGUUUUAUUGACAUAUUGGAUUUGUAUAUGGUGUGUUUGGAUAAAUGAUGUAUCACACUGUGAGGUGUCCUGCAAAACAAACUAACACACUAACUUUGUGUUCUUCAAAUACUGAGGAGUUUUUGUUGGGUUACCAGGUUAGCUUGUGUUGGCUUUUUUAUAUGAGAGAGAAGACAAAUACGCUCCAAUGAUACGUUUUCACACUUUAUGAUCAAACAGAAUUUCAGAUGAGUUUUCCACGGCUCCAUGGACCUCCAUCUAUCUGGCUCCAAGACAAAGGCUGCCUCACCCAGGCAGGAAACACUUUUACUGCAUGUGGUAAAAACUGAAUGUUAACGUGAUCGCUCAACAGCUGGAGGAAAGCCUUUAGACCCAUGUACGGCUCACGUUUCAUCUCCUGCACCUUUCCCACAUCUCCCUACAUGGAGAUGUUGUUUCUCAUAUCACCGUGGCAACCGUCUCUGGUCCUCUGGUCAGGCCUAUAGAGUUAGAGAAGGGGGUGUGUCCUAACAGCUGAAUUUAUAGGCCUGUUUUUCUCUGGGAGAGUCAGUCUCAAAGGUUUGGACUUUCUGGUGUCAUCCCGAGUCCAGGCAGACCAUCUUCAGAGAAGACAGCUUCUCUUUGUUUCUGUCUUUUAGUAUCUGAGUGUAGCAGUCCAAAUCCAAAACCAUACUACGAUGCACAUCUGUCCGCAACAAAACACAAAUAUGUGACACAAACCACGAGGCAGCUAUGCAAUAUAAAAUAAUGGGGCUACAUGAGCCUUAAAGUGUUUAGUAAAGCGCUGUGUUGGACUGGUGCUCAUGGCCAGAGUUAAGUUACAUCAAGUGUAGCAGAGAUUUGCUGCAUUUCAGCUGAUAAUGCUUAGAUUGAUUCACUCAGUUCAAUCUAUAUACCAACGUUCUCCUGUCUAGUAUAAAGAUUUGAUAGUGUGCUGUCAGAGUAGGGGAUGGAAAUCAGCCAAGGUAGCUUGUGAAACAUCUGUUUCCAUCUUGUUGAGUUCAGCUUUUUAAAUGAACAAAGAGCAGCAGGUCAGCUGAUCACAGCCUGUACAGAAGCUCACAUUAGAAAUCAUUGUGAGCUGUGAUUCAACUCCAUGCUGAGGCACUACAAAAGGUCUGUUUGUGUACACAUGAAACCUCCACAUGUGAGCCUCUGUGAGGCAGUUAGCUGGAAGGCUUCAAAGCCUGAUGAAACUUUAUCUCACCAUCACAGGCGGAAACACAAACUCACUCACAAUGAGCACAGUGUUUCCAGACCAAUGUAAUUGAUUACUUUUCUGUGAUUAUUAUUAUUUUUGAGUCUGCUAAAUGUCUUUAAUAAAAUCUCCUGCAGUUAAAUUGUGAACGUUCCCUUUUGAACCCUUUGUGAAACAGUAAAGGGAUGAAUGUGAGUAUUAAUGAGUUUUAGUGUAAAUGGCUCUUACAGGUGACUCCAGCCUUUCAAAGUAACAAUCCCUCGAAGCGACUGUCCAGGCCUCUAAAGCCAUCCCAGCUAACAAGUUGGUGAAGCCCUGGCUUUCCAGGAAGCAGCUGAACUAUAAGGAA